UUGUGUUUUGAAGAUGCACGAAGGUCUUACAGGUUUGGAAUGACAUACUUAAAGGGAUAGUUUCCCCCCCCCAAAAAAAUUUGAUGUUUAUCUGCUUACCCCCAAGGCAUUCAAGAUGUAGGUGACUUUGUUUGUUCAGUAGAACACAAACAAAGAUUUUUAACUCAAACUGUUGCAGUCUGUCAGUCAUAUAAUAGCAGUCAAUGGGAUCCAUGGGUUUGAGAGUCAAAAAAACAUGCACAGACAAAACCAAAUUAAGCCCUGCGGCUCAUGACGAUACAUUGAGGUCUUAAGACACGAAACAAUCAGUCUUUACAAGAAACUGAACAGUAUUUAUAUCAUUUUUUCCCUCUGAUCCACCGCAAUGUCUAACUGUCCUGAGCGCGUUCACAACAGCUGGUGUGUGACGCAUUAACAUGCUCUGGAAUAGCAGACGCAUGCGCGGAAGUGAUCUGUUGCGCGUAUAGAUCACUCAUUGUUUACACAGUGCACAAAGAUUGUGGGUACAACGGCUACUCAAAAUGGUAAUUACUUGUGCUUACCCUGAUUGUUGCAAUGGAUUAAAAACUAUAAGAUUACUUUGCUUGCGGGAACUCAUCCGGGAGUGUUGACCUUUCACUGACUCAAAACUUUUGAGCCUGAUCGACUGACCCAGAGAGCCAAAGGGAGAUAAAGUACUACUGAAAUCAUCAGCUGUGCCUAUGGUUUUUCUCGACGAACUGAGGUCACACACCGGCUGUUGUGAACAUGCUCAGUUGGACAUUGCGGUGGAUCAGAGCCAUGCAUCCUAUUGACUGCCAUUAUAUGACUGACAGACUGCAACGGUUUGAGUUAAAAAUCUUUGUGUUCUACUGAAGAAACAAAGUCACCUACAUCUUGGAUGCCUUGGAGACAUUGUGUGUUCGCAUGAAUAUAUGUGAAACACUACGUCAUUCCACAGUCACUGCGUCCACACUCUCCUGGGAGACCUCAGAGUCCAGUGAAUAGCAGGAGCUGCCGUUAUCCUGAGUGUCCUUGGCUGCCUCCUCUCCCGUGGCUGCGCUAAUAUCUGGUUGGCCAUCGCAGCCGUGAAGCAGCUGGCCGCAGAAGCGGCUGUAGCGAUGGUAUCGCAGCGGCUUGCCCACAUGGGCGAACAUGUGCUCCUGCAGCUGGCUCUUCUGCGAGAAGCGAAGGUUGCAUACGGCACAGGCCAUCUUUCGUUUUCGUGUGAAGGCUGCCAACGGGCUGCCGCUCCGUCCGGUCCCACCACCUCGUCUGAGUUCCACAGCCAGCUCAUCGGCCAGGGCCUGGCUUUGCCGUAAGGC